AUACGUAGGGGGCGAGCGUUGUCCGGAAUGAUUGGGCGUAAAGGGCGCGUAGGCGGCCCGGUAAGUCUGGAGUGAAAGUCCUGUUUUUAAGAUGGGAAUUGCUUUGGAUACUGUCGGGCUUGAGUGCAGGAGAGGUAAGUGGAAUUCCCAGUGUAGCGGUGAAAUGCGUAGAGAUUGGGAGGAACACCAGUGGCGAAGGCGACUUACUGGACUGUAACUGACGCUGAUGCGCGAAAGUGUGGGGAGCAAACAGGAUUAGAUACCCUGGUAGUCCACACUGUAAACGAUGAAUGCUAGGUGUAGGGGGUAGCGACCCCUUCUGUGCCGCAGUCAACACAAUAAGCAUUCCGCCUGGGGAGUACGGCCGCAAGGUUGAAACUCAAAUGAAUUGACGGGG
rnacentral:rRNA from 1 species